rnacentral:rRNA from 1 species
GACGAACGCUGGCGGCGUGCUUAACACAUGCAAGUCGAACGGAAAGGCCCUGCUUUUGUGGGGUGCUCGAGUGGCGAACGGGUGAGUAACACGUGAGUAACCUGCCCUUGACUUUGGGAUAACUUCAGGAAACUGGGGCUAAUACCGGAUAGGAGCUCCUGCUGCAUGGUGGGGGUUGGAAAGUUUCGGCGGUUGGGAUGGACCCGCGGCUUAUCAGCUUGUUGGUGGGGUAGUGGCUUACCAAGGCUUUGACGGGUAGCCGGCCUGAGAGGGUGACCGGCCACAUUGGGACUGAGAUACGGCCCAGACUCCUACGGGAGGCAGCAGUGGGGAAUAUUGCACAAUGGGCGGAAGCCUGAUGCAGCAACGCCGCGUGCGGGAUGACGGCCUUCGGGUUGUAAACCGCUUUCGCCUGUGACGAAGCGUGAGUGACGGUAAUGGGUAAAGAAACACCGGCGAACUACGU